GCUUGUCUCAAAGAUUAAGCCAUGCAUGUCUUAGUGUAAAUAACUCUUAUGAAACUGCGAAUGGCUCAUUAAAUCAGUUAUCAAAUACGUGAUGGUCGCCUACUACAUGGAUAACCGUAGUAAUUCUAGAGCUAAUACAUGCACAAAGGCCCACUCACGUGGGUUGUGAUUAUUAGAUACAACCGACCUCCUUCUGGAGCCUUUUGUCGACUCAUAGUAACUUCUCGAAUCGGAGGCUUGCCUCCGAUAGUUCAUUCAAAUUUCUGCCCUAUCAGCUUUCGACGGUAGUGUAGUGGACUACCGUGGCGUUAACGGGUAACG
rnacentral:rRNA from 1 species